GAUAAAGUAGCGGAUGUUGUUGCCACGGAUGCUGAGAGACUCCAGCUGAGUGGGCUCCCUGUUCUUCAGGGUCAUUUUCACCGCCUUCAAGUGGGUGUUCAUGCUCACAUCAACACCUACAAAAACAGAAAAAAAAGCAGGUUGGUUUCACCAUGUGCAUCUGUGUUUGACUGCUGAGCUGAAGAGGACGAGAAAACCAUCUGCGAUUCCAGGCUGAGGGCCAGCUCGGUGUGGUGGUGCCGCUCGGCGUGAUCACAUGGCGUCAACUUGUCCUCAUCCUCCACAAAAAGGUCCGCCUCACUUUGGAUUAGCAGCUACAGGGACAAGGAGGGAGAAGAGAGGAGUUGAUAAUGGAGAUGAGCAAGAAAAUAAGGGAUUUAAAUCAACAGACAACAGAAACAAGGUGGUGGUAGAAGAGAGAAAAGCAACGUGUGGAAGCCAAGUCGAAGUAAAGUAAAAGGGAUCAGCUUCAGCAAGAGUCCAAAGGCAGCAAAACAGAGAAAGAAUACACAUUAAAAAGAGGCAGAAAUAAAUAGAAAUGUGUUCUUUUUA